UCUCUGUAGGUGAACCUGCGGAAGGAUCAUUAUUGUAUAAACGAGGGGCGAGCGCUGUCGCUGACGCGAAAGGUCGCGCACGCACGAGUCCCCCCACACCCACCCGUCCACCCCCUAUGCGCAGCACCGCGUGGGUCACCCUUGUGCUUUUUCGGUGGGGCGCUUACGUUUUCACAGAAACCUUGUAUGCUGUAUAGAAUGUAUUUUUUGUUUUUGCGCACACGCAAUAAAUACAACUUUCAACAACGGAUCUCUUGGCUCUC
rnacentral:misc_RNA from 1 species